AUUGAACGCUGGCGGCAUGCCUUACACAUGCAAGUCGAACGGUAACAGGUCUUCGGAUGCUGACGAGUGGCGAACGGGUGAGUAAUACAUCGGAACGUGCCCGAUCGUGGGGGAUAACGAAGCGAAAGCUUUGCUAAUACCGCAUACGAUCUACGGAUGAAAGCAGGGGACCGCAAGGCCUUGCGCGAACGGAGCGGCCGAUGGCAGGUUAGGUAGUUGGUGGGAUAAAAGCUUACCAAGCCGACGAUCUGUAGCUGGUCUGAGAGGACGACCAGCCACACUGGGACUGAGACACGGCCCAGACUCCUACGGGGGGCAGCAGUGGGGAAUUUUGGACAAUGGGCGAAAGCCUGAUCCAGCCAUGCCGCGUGCAGGAUGAAGGCCUUCGGGUUGUAAACUGCUUUUGUACGGAACGAAAAGACUCUGGUUAAUACCUGGGGUCCAUGACGGUACCGUAAGAAUAAGCACCGGCUAACUACGUGCCAGCAGCCGCCGUAAAAC
rnacentral:rRNA from 1 species